rnacentral:tRNA from 1 species
GCCGAAGUAGCUCAGCGGCAGAGCAACGGUUUCGUAAACCGUAGGUCGUGGGUUCAAAUCCCAUCUUCGGCUCCG